GUGGGGAAUUUUGGACAAUGGGCGCAAGCCUGAUCCAGCAAUGCCGCGUGCAGGAAGAAGGCCUUCGGGUUGUAAACUGCUUUUGUACGGAACGAAAAGGCUCUGGUUAAUACCUGGGGCUCAUGACGGUACCGUAAGAAUAAGCACUGGCUAACUACGUGCCAGCAGCCGCGGUAAUACGUAGGGUGCAAGCGUUAAUCGGAAUUACUGGGCGUAAAGCGUGCGCAGGCGGUUUUGUAAGACAGGCGUGAAAUCCCCGGGCUCAACCUGGGAAUGGCGCUUGUGACUGCAAAGCUGGAGUGCGGCAGAGGGGGAGGGAAUUCCGCGUGUAGCAGUGAAAUGCGUAGAUAUGCGGAGGAACACCGAUGGCGAAGGCAAUCCCCUGGGCCUGCACUGACGCUCAUGCACGAAAGCGUGGGGAGCAAACAGGAUUAGAUACCCGUGUAGUCC
rnacentral:rRNA from 1 species